rnacentral:lncRNA from 10 species
CUCCCUCCCUCCUGCCUCCUUCUUUCCCUUAUAAGGACCCCACCUUGGACCCACCCAGAUAACCCAGGAUCAUCUUCCACCUCAGGCUCCUUCACAUCCUCACAUCUGUAAAGUCCCUGUGGCCACACAACACAGCAUUUGGACAGGUCCCGGGACUGGGACACAGCCAUCCCUGGGCCCUAAUUCAGCCACCCACAGCUCCUUUCCCUCCUUCCUCUCUCCUCCGGGUAUGAAAAGGGAAUGCAGAGAGGUUGGUCAAUGAAUACACACCUACAGUUAGAUGCAAGGAAUGUGUUCUAAUGUUGAGUAGCAGAGUAGGGUGACUAUGGUUAGCAAUAAUGUAUUGUAUAUUUCAAAAUAGCUACAAGAGAGAACUUGAAAUACACUCAACACAUAGAAAUGAGAAAUACUCAAGGCCAUACCCCAAAUAUCCUGACUUGAUGAUGACAUGUUGGAUGCACGGAACCAAACAGCACAUGCGCCUCAUAGAAAUGUCCAAUAUUAUGUAUCAGUGUAAUAUUUUCUAUGAAUAAGAAAGGCAAAAAAAGAAGUUAAGCAUAAACUAGCUAUUUGACCUAGCAGUUCCAGCCCUAGGAAUUUAUCUAGAAGAAAUGAAAGCAUGCGUUCAAAAAGAUGUAUACAUAAAUGUUCUCAGCAACCUCAUUCACUACAGGCAACAACUGGAAACAACCCAAGUGUCCGUCAGCUAGAGAAUGGAUAGACCCAUGUGGUCUCUGCAUACAGUGGAGUGCUGCUCAGUUAUACAAAGAAAAGGAACUAUGGAUACAGGCCACAGGAGGGAUGAACUUCAAAACAUUACAACAGUUUCACCUUUGUCACCCAGGCUGGAGUGCAAUGGUGCGAUCUUGGCUCACUGUACAACCUCCACCUCCUGGAUUCAAGCAAUUCUCCUGCCUCAGCCUCCUGAGUAGCUGGGAUUACAGGUGCCCGCCACCACACUGAGCUAAUGUUUUGUAUUUUUAGUAGAGAUGGGGCUUCACCAUGUUGGCCAAGCUGGUCUCAAAUUCCUGACCUUGGGUGAUCCACCCCCCUCAGCCUCCCAAAGUGUUAGGAUUACAGGCGUGAGCCACC